CAUUCCAAUGCCGUGAUUGGCUGCUGAUGUCAGAGGGCUCACUCCAGUGGCGUAACUUUGUUUUGAAAAGUGGUGGGGACAAAGACGACACAAACAAUACUGUAAUAAAUUGUUUCUGCAAGAACUCAUCAGGAAUAUUCAUGGACGUCACAAGCGCGAAACAUGUGGCGGACAAAGCAAAAUUUGGAUUACAGCUUUCUGAUGAUGUAUGCCCAGACCAAAGGGACAUAUUAUGUACAGCUAGAGGAUGACAUUGUCGCACGCCCAA